UUGAACAGUUGUUAAAACAAAGAUUGGA
rnacentral:piRNA from 1 species